GCCAGCACAGCUAGUAGUAAAGGCUUCUGGGAGUUGUAGUCUAAGAACAUCUGGGGACCCAAGGUUGGGAACCACUGACCCACUUCCUUUUGUACUGCUUUAUUUUCCAGAGAGAUCCUGCAACCUCCACAGCUACCUCUGCCACGUGGUGAAGGACUUGGAGGCUCAGCUCCGGCGCCUGGAUUGGGACACCCUUCCUCGCCCCUACGACCAUCUGCAUGCUGCGGAUCAGUUGCACAAACUCUGGCAGAACCUGGAACAGCAACAGCAACGACAGCAACCAUCACCUCAUCCCAGCGCAGAGGAGACGUGGCCCCAUCGCUGCUGCUGCUGCUGUUUCCGCCCGCCCAGGGCCAGCCCCCAGCAGAGAAGCCUCGCCGUCGAAGGUCCAGCCCAGGGGCCCCCACCGCCUCUCUUCUGCCGCCCCCUCCCCAGGAGGUUCGGCAUCAUCUGCUGGGCUGUCUUAGGGACCCUCAGCCUCAUCGCUGGCUUCUUCACUCUGCUGUACAGCCUCCGAAUGGAUCGGAACCAGGCUGGGCACUGGGCUGUCACCAUCCUGUUGUCCACACUGCAAAACGUCUUCCUCAUGCAGCCCCUGAAGGUGGGCCGAGGCUCCGCAUUCCCCCCCCGCCCGCCGCCCAUAGGUCCCAAGCAGAGCGAGGGUG
rnacentral:lncRNA from 1 species